GACGAACGCUGGCGGCGUGCUUAACACAUGCAAGUCGAACGGAAAGGCCCCCACUUUUUUGGUGGGGGUGCUCGAGUGGCGAACGGGUGAGUAACACGUGGGUGAUCUGCCCUGUACUUCGGGAUAAGCUUGGGAAACUGGGUCUAAUACCGGAUAGGACCAUGGUUUAGUGUCUCAUGGUGGAAAAAUUAUUGUUUUGGUGCAGGAUGAGCUCGCGGCCUAUCAGCUUGUUGGUGGGGUAAUGGCCUACCAAGGCGUCGACGGGUAGCCGGCCUGAGAGGGUGGACGGCCACAUUGGGACUGAGAUACGGCCCAGACUCCUACGGAGGCAGCAGUGGGGAAUAUUGCACAAUGGGCGCAAGCCUGAUGCAGCGACGCCGCGUGGGGGAUGACGGCCUUCGGGUUGUAAACUCCUUUCGUUAGGGACGAAGCCGCACCUUUUUUGGGUGUGGUGACGGUACCUUUGUUAAGAAGCACCGGCUAACUACGUG
rnacentral:rRNA from 1 species